CCUACGGGUGGCAGCAGUGAGGAAUAUUGGUCAAUGGGCGAGAGCCUGAACCAGCCAAGUCGCGUGAAGGAUGACGGCCCUACGGGUUGUAAACUUCUUUUGUCAGGGAGCAAUUGAGUCCACGUGUGGGCUUAGCGAGAGUACCUGAAGAAAAAGCAUCGGCUAACUCCGUGCCAGCAGCCGCGGUAAUACGGAGGAUGCUAGCGUCAUCCGGAUUUAUUGGGUUGAAAGGGUGCGUAGGCGGAAUGUCAAGUCAGUGGGAAAAAUUCGGGGCUCAACCCCGUCGUGCCGUUGAAACUGAUGUUCUUGAGUGGGCGAGAAGUAUGCUGCAUGCGUGGUGUAGCGGUGACAUCCAUAGAUAUCACGCAGAACUCCGAUUGCGAAGGCAGCAUGCCGGCGCCCAACUGACGCUGAAGCACGAAAGCGUGGGUAUCGAACAGGAUUAGAUACCCGUGUAGUC
rnacentral:rRNA from 1 species